CCAAGCCAGCUCAGUCAACAG
rnacentral:misc_RNA from 1 species